UAGUGACAGUUUUUCAAAAACUUUUUCUUUUGUUUACCAAAAUUAUCGUUCUAAAAGCAUUUGACUGACCAGUGUCGGCUAAGGUAACUUACUUCUCACGCGUGAACAAUUGGUUUACCAAACAUCAGAACCAUAUCGCUACUAAAGUUAUAGUCCUAUCUCCAGACAAACGUCAGCCGAAUCUAUGACGGUUCUAAGGUAGCUUAAUUCCUUGUCGGUUAGUUUCCGACCUGCAUCAAAGUUUGAACAAUUUACCUUAUGUCACACUUUAUUAUUGUGGAAUUUGUCUCUGUUGUCAGGAUCCAGCAGUUCAGUCAAAAGACAAAAAGACCCUAUGAACCCUUUUAGUAUC
rnacentral:rRNA from 14 species